rnacentral:rRNA from 1 species
CCUACGGGAGGCAGCAGUGAGGAAUAUUGGUCAAUGGCCGAGAGGCUGAACCAGCCAAGUCGCGUGAGGGAAGACGGCCCUACGGGUUGUAAACCUCUUUUGUAGGGGAGUAAAGCGAGUCACGUGUGACUCUUUGAGUGUACCCUAAGAAUAAGCAUCGGCUAACUCCGUGCCAGCAGCCGCGGUAAUACGGAGGAUGCGAGCGUUAUCCGGAUUUAUUGGGUUUAAAGGGUGCGUAGGCGGACAGUCAAGUCAGCGGUAAAAGUGCGGUGCUCAACGCCGUACAGCCGUUGAAACUGGAAGUCUUGAGUGGGCGAGAGGUAGGCGGAAUGCGUGGUGUAGCGGUGAAAUGCAUAGAUAUCACGCAGAACUCCGAUUGCGAAGGCAGCAUACCGGCGCCCGACUGACGCUGAGGCUCGAAAGCGUGGGUAUCGAACAGGAUUAGAUACCCUAGUAGUC